rnacentral:lncRNA from 1 species
CGGAGCUGAAAUACAACCUCAGUGCUGGUUUAUGCCAUCACUGGGAGCCUUUUCUCCUACAGACUGGGCACCAACUACUUCAAAUGAAGCAAUAGGGCAGAAUGGGUCUCAGAAGGAUCUCAGCGGUCCCAAAGAGGAUGGAAACCCCACCGCUGUGUCACACUGCUUGGACUGGAGCUGCAGGGCUGGGGGCUGCAGGGUACAUGGAGGACUGAAGAAACAAGUUAAGAAGCUGCGUAAUGAGAUAUGUGCACUUACUUUGAUAAGUCCAUGGCAGGCUUCUCUGUUAGAAAAGGAGUCUUGCACAGAGCUCAAGUUUCUAAAAUAGGUCUUCAGUCGAUAAAUUCCUAUUUAUGUCACAGGGCUUUAUUUUCGUGUCCCACUUCAAUCAAGGAAAUAAAAGAUGUAGGUCUGGAGAGCCAUUUGCUUGUGCUACUGUAAUUAUUUGCUGGGUCAAACCACGCUCAGUUUUACACCCAGUGGAGUUAAUGGUGGCCAAUACCAAUACAUUAAGGCUUCGCCCAGGAGGUGAUGUUAUUCCCCAUUAGAAGAAAAGGGUGAGAGCACACAGACACGAACCAGAACGCUCUCAGUUCGGCUCUAUAACAUAAAACUUUUUCCCUCAUUGAUUUUUUUUUUUCAAAUAUAGGAAACAUUCAUUUUUUACCUUCUGUUUUUUUUUGCUUCUCAAUGUCUGCCAAAACGUCAGGAAGAAAACACAGAACAAAAGGCAAACAAACCCAGAAAGCUUCUAUCUGUUCUAUCUGUCAGGCGCUGUGUUUUCUUGAAGACAAAACAGCACUUCCAAU